rnacentral:rRNA from 1 species
GAUGAACGCUAGCUACAGGCUUAACACAUGCAAGUCGAGGGGAAACGAUAUUGGAAGCUUGCUUCCGAUAGGCGUCGACCGGCGCACGGGUGAGUAACGCGUAUCCAACCUGCCCAUCACUUGGGGAUAACCUUGCGAAAGUAAGACUAAUACCCAAUGAUAUCUCUAGAAGACAUCUGAAAGGGAUUAAAGAUUUAUCGGUGAUGGAUGGGGAUGCGUCUGAUUAGCUUGUUGGCGGGGUAACGGCCCACCAAGGCGACGAUCAGUAUGGGUUCUGACAGGAAGGUCCCCCACAGUGGAACUGAGAGACGGUCCACACUCCUACGGGAGGCAGCAGUGAGGAAUAGUGGUCAAUGGGCGAGAGCCUGAACCAGCCAAGUAGCGUGCAGGAUGACGGCCCUAUGGGUUGUAAACUGCUUUUAUAAGGGAAUAAAGUGGAAGUCGUGACUCCUUUUGCAUGUACCUUAUGAAUAAGGACCGGCUAAUUCCGUGCCAGCCGCCGCAGUAA